UGCAACAUUAUCCAUCAGCAUUGUAUGUUCUGUAUCAACCAGGGACGCCUGAGGAAACCCGAUGGCUCAUACGUUUUCGUGCUGAAAACGAGCAGCGUUUCCUGAAAUCCAAAUACAAUGCUAAACAACUUUGGGAGACACUAAUAAAAUAAUUGGGUUUGAAGGGAAAAGUGACUGGCCAACAAGCAUCAAAGAAGUGGGAGAAUUUAAAGAAAAAAUAUAAGGACCUAAAAACUCCCAAAACCUGUUCUGGAACAGAUGCUGGAGAGGUAACAGCUUCUACGUGGCAGUAUUUUGAAGAAAUGCACAAGGUGUUGGGUUCCAGGCCUUCUGUGGACCCUCCUGUGGUGGUUGCAUCAUUCACUGAUGAGGAACCCAUAACAAUCCUCAUAGACACUGUUGAACCCAGUGGAAGUACUGCUGCCAGCACCAUAGGAGCCUUCUCAUCUUUGCAAAAUACAUCGGAAGAGACAGCCUCUUCUAGUGCAGCAUCCAUCAUGGUGAUAGCAAGCCCCCCAACUCCAUCACCAAAGAAAAAAAAGAGGAAAAGUAAUCCCGUUUUGGAUUUUUUAGUGGAAGAGUCCCAAAAGGAGCAGAAUCGCCAUGAAGAGAGCGAGGCCAAGACU